rnacentral:lncRNA from 1 species
AAAAACCUGAAAAAGUAUCAAGAGAAGAUUUUGAAGAUGUGCCAGCUUCAAAGAAAGCUAAAGAAGAAACUGAAGAUGUGCCUUCCCCAAAGAAGCAAAAAACUCCCAUCAGUUUCUUCCAAUGCGUCUAUUUGGACGGGUACAAUGGCUACGGAUUUCAGUUUCCUGUCUCUCCGGCACCACGCCCUGAAGAGAAUUCUGGCAAACCCGGUUCUCCAGGACAGAAGCAACAAGGACAGUAGACAGCACACGCAGGACCCUUACCAGCGCUUUACGAUGGGGAAACGGGACCUUGUCUGGUGCACGCUGACCCAGGCAAUUGAAGGCAUGCCAUCCUGACAGUCUCUGAAGACACUUUUCUCUUCUGUCUGGCAUAGAGACCAUGGUGGCCAGAGGGACUGAAUAAUAAGCACACGUGUGGAAGGGUCUGAAGCCGGCAAUCUGUCAUUAGUGUUCGCUGUGUGAGAAGGCGCUGCUUGUAUUUUUCUGUUUCCAUUCACUGUAAGGUUGUACGCAAAGUUUACUUCAUACUGGUUUUUUUCAAUAUGAUUGACACAUUUACAGAAUGAAAUUCCUGGCUUCAGUAGAUACUGGUUUUUAAAAAGUAACAUAGACUGCACUGUAGUUUAAAAGACACAGGAGCCCGGGUAAAAGACUCUUUUGUGUCAUGUGAGGUCUGAACUCGAUUUACACAGUGAGUGAAUUCGGAAUCGUUUCAUUCUGUUUACAUUCGCUUCUCUUGUGUGGAGGUUACUGUAGAACUGACCAAGAGCUGCACCAAGAGUGCUGUGAGUUCUUGUGAUGCUCUUAUGCUCAGGAUAUCUCCGAACUUUAGACUCGUAAGAUGAAGAAUCAACGCUCGAUGAAUCUUACCUCUAAGAUUUGUCUUGAGCUGUAGUUAAGACAUUCACACCAUCCAGGCAACACUACAGGCAAGUCUGUUGAGCCAUUUGUUUUCAAUAUAAGCAAAUGACAUGUUGAAAUUUUAGAUUUCUCCAGACUAUGCCCUAAUGAAAAUGUCACCUAUGUGAAGUUUCAGAUCAACCAUGAAACAUAGAUGACAAAUGCAACAAUAUUUUCAUUUCGUGGAAGUGUUCGCAUUCUUUCUAUGAAAUUAAAGGCUUUAUUUUUCAAAAUGGAAAAAUAUGAGAGCCACCAAACUUUAAGGAAAACAUUUGAAUUGUGGAUACUUUCAUGCUUUACUGGCAUUUAAGGCGACUGGUCAUCAGUGCCCAUGAAAUAGACAGCUUUUAAUUCACUUGACAAUUCUUCACUGGAAAUGACAAUUAUGGUUUUGUCAUCUUUCUAGUGAUAGAAACACUUUCUUUACAAAGUUUUGCUAUCAACUAUUAAGAUCAUGUUUCUGUGAUCUCUUAUAAUGUUUACAGUUGAAAAAACUUAUGACAAAGUAACUCAGGAAAUAAAUUGCAUUAUUUUUUCUGGUGUUAUAAUUAUCUUCAUCAAAGUUUGACCUUGCCAGAUCCUAUAUUAUCCAGGUGAAUUAUUUUCAAUGACUGCAACCAACUAUGGUUCUUAACACUCAAGUUACCAGUGAGCUUUGCUAAAAAUCCUUAACCUAGGACAUCUGUUAUACAUUCGUUAUUAAAAAUGGAUUUUAGUGAGCUUCGUGAAAGAAGUUGAUCUCAGCCAGAUGCUGGCAGAGCUAAUUCACACCGCAAAAGACAACAGUACAACAAACCAGAUUAAUGACACUUUUUUAUGGGGGCACAUCCUGGAAGUAAUUUCAGGUCUAAUCAGAUAGUGCCAACUUAUAGAGCCCCUUCAUGUAGCUGGAUACUAUUAUGAGUAGGACAGUGAGCAAAGGUUAUUGUCGAAUUGCUCUUCUGCCUGUUCAACUUAACAGGAAAAGAAAUAGAGAGCAAAUACAAUAACUGCAGAACGAUAUAUCAUCAAAUGGUUAACGUUCAAUGACAAGUGAGCACGUAACUCUACAUUGUUAGGCACUGGGCUGUGUAAGAUACAAAUAAAGCAAUAUAUUCUAUUACCAGUGAUAACCUGACCUUGGAAAGUUUACUACAUGGACUACGUUUGUUUCUUGAAGUGUAAAAUAGAGCUGUGAAGUCAAACAGCCUAGUACUUCAGUUUCCUAUGAAAAAUUAUCAAAUAGCUUACUAUGUAUCUGACAUCAGAAUACGUUUCUGAAAUAAUACUUUUGGUUAUGGUACUAUUUUUCUCUGAAAGGUUUUCUACAUUAUGUUGUCAUUUCUUUUAUGCUCAUUUUGAAAAUUUGAUAAAAAGUAAAAUAGCAUUACUUAGAAUUUAGGUAAGCCAAUUAUAAUGUAAGCAACUUUAAUCGCUGUUUAAAUUUGCCUGAGUGAGAUUACAAUAAAGAAAACACUAAAACUAUCAUUGUACACUGUAAUCUGCUUCAGUCAAAUAAAAUACUUCUAACCCUUUCAAAUUGAUGUCUUAUAUUUUAAAAGGAAAAGAUAAAUGGUUACAUCUUCGAAUAAUUCAUUACUAAUGUCAUAUUGACCAUGAAUGUGUAUUUGGUAAUUGUUUUAAUUUUCUCUUUUGUCAAGUUGAUAUGAGCUACCUUUUCCAACACUUACUCUGCCCCACUUCUUACCCAGUAUGAAUAGUUGAUGUUAUAUAAAAAAUAAAAAUUUAUUUCACCUAAGGUUUUCAACUUAUGUUUAGUUUUCAUAAAGCCUGAGAAAACAUCAUUAAAAUAUA